rnacentral:lncRNA from 1 species
UUACCACAAAGUGUGACAAGUCUUGUGAGGAAGGUUUGACUCUUGAUUGAUGUUUGUUUUUAUCUUGUCUUUUUUUCUUUUCUUUUCUUUUUUUUACAGAAAAACAUAAACAAUAGCAAUCAUCGCUUUGACCCGCAUGACAUUCAUUUAAAAGGAGAAGAACAAGCGAUAUCCUCGGGGAUGGCUUCACACUGAAGGGAGAGCGAGAGCCUUUGUUCCC